rnacentral:rRNA from 1 species
UACGUAGGGUGCGAGCGUUAAUCGGAAUUACUGGGCGUAAAGCGUGCGCAGGCGGUUCGUUGUGUCGGUGGUGAAAGCCCCGGGCUUAACCUGGGAAUGGCCAUGGAAACUGGCGAACUGGAGUGCGGCAGAGGGGGAUGGAAUUCCGCGGUGUAGCAGUGAAAUGCGUAGAUAUGCGGAGGAACACCGAUGGCGAAGGCAACUCCCG